rnacentral:rRNA from 1 species
GCUUAACACAUGCAAGUCGAGCGCGCCCUUCGGGGUGAGCGGCGGACGGGUUAGUAACGCGUGGGAACGUGCCCUUUUCUACGGAAUAGCUUCUGGAAACGGAAGGUAAUACCGUAUACGCCCUUCGGGGGAAAGAUUUAUCGGUGAAGGAUCGGCCCGCGUUAGAUUAGUUUGUUGGUGGGGUAAUGGCCUACCAAGACUACGAUCUAUAGCUGGUCUGAGAGGAUGAUCA